rnacentral:ncRNA from 1 species
ACCAGGACAUGGAUGCUGUACGGAAGCGUGAAAGGCUUUGGCCACGCCAGAGGAGAGCCGUGAGAAGCGUUGUUCUUUGCUUUUAAUGACGCGUUGCCUUGGAGUUAGUUCUGGAGAUAGGGUUAAAUGGCAGGUCCGGUGCGCUGUCGACUGCCCUUGAAAAGCCGAAGGACGGACUUAUUCACACCCUG